UUAUAUUUUAUUUAUUAAUUUUUUUUUUUUAUAUUAUAAGUUAUUAAAAAUAAUUAUUAAAAGGUUUGUUUGAGUAUUUUAUAAAGAAAAAAUAAUUUUAAUUAUAGUUAAAUAGUAUUGUGAAAGAAAAUUGAAAUAAUUUGAAAAAUUAAUAUUUUAAAAGAAAAUUUAAUUUAUUGUACCUUGUGUAUCAGGGUUUAUUAAAUAAAAAUUAUUUAGUAUAAUUUUCUCGAUUUUAAAAGAGUUAAUAUAUUAUAAAAGUUAAUGUGACAAAAUUAUUUUAUAUAAUAUAUUAGAAAUGAAAUGUUAUUCGUUUUUAAAGGUAUCUAGUUCUUUAAGAAAUAAAUUUAAUUUAGAAAUUUUAUAUUAUUUAAUUAAAUAUAUUAAUUAAAUAAUUAUUUAAUUUUAAUAUUUUAUGGGAUAAGCUAUAAAAUAAAUUAUUAAAAGUUAAUAAAUAAUUUAAUAAAUAUAAGCUUAGAAAUAGCUAUUAUUAAUGAAAUUGUUAUAAUUUAUUUUAUUAUAGUAAUUAUUUAUUUAAUUUUAAUUAUGUAUUAAAGUAUUUAUUUUAAUUAUAAAAAUAAAAAAAUAAUGAUAAAAUUAGUAUAUUAUAUUGUAUAAAUAUAAUUAAUUGAUAAGUUUUUAUAAAGAACUCGGCAAAAAUAAUGUUCGCCUGUUUAACAAAAACAUGUCUUUUUGAAUUUUUUUAAAAGUCUAGCCUGCCCACUGAAUAAUUUAAAUGGCCGCAGUAUACUAACUGUGCAAAGGUAGCAUAAUCAUUAGUCUUUUAAUUGAAGGCUGGUAUGAAUGGUUGGACGAGAUAUUAACUGUUUCAUAAAAAUUUAUAAUAGAAUUUUAUUUUUUAGUCAAAAAGCUAAAAUAAAAUUAAAAGACGAGAAGACCCUAUAAAUCUUUAUACAUAGAUUAUUAGAAUUUUGUAGAUUUUUUUUAUUAUAAUAGUUAAUUGUAUUUUAUUGGGGUGAUAUUAAAAUUUAAUUAACUUUUAAUUUUUAAAGUCAUUAAUUUAUGAAUAAUUGAUCCGUUAAUAACGAUUAAAAAAAUAAGUUACUUUAGGGAUAACAGCGUAAUUUUUUUGGAGAGUUCAUAUCGAUAAAAAAGAUUGCGACCUCGAUGUUGGAUUAAGAUAUAAUUUUAGGUGUAGCCGCUUAAAUUUUAAGUCUGUUCGACUUUUAAAUUCUUACAUGAUCUGAGUUCAAACCGGCGUAAGCCAGGUUGGUUUCUAUCUUUAAAAAAUAAAAAUAUUUCAGUACGAAAGGACCUAAUAUUUAAUAAAUCAUUAUUUUAAUAUUGAAUAUAAUUAAUUUAU
rnacentral:rRNA from 1 species